AGAGUUUGAUCCUGGCUUAGGAUGAACGCUAGCGACAGGCUUAACACAUGCAAGUCGAGGGGCAGCAUAAAAGUAGCAAUACUUGGUGGCGACCGGCGCACGGGUGAGUAACGCGUAUGCAACCUACCUAUCAGAGGGGAAUAACCGGCGAAAGUCGGACUAAUACCGCAUAAACAGGGGCACCGCAUGGUGAUAUUUGUUAAAGAAAUUCGCUGAUAGAUGGGCAUGCGUUCCAUUAGGUAGUUGGUGAGGUAACGGCUCACCAAGCCGACGAUGGAUAGGGAACUGAGAGGUUGGUCCCCCACACUGGUACUGAGACACGGACCAGACUCCUACGGGAGGCAGCAGUGAGGAAUAUUGGUCAAUGGGCGGGAGCCUGAACCAGCCAAGUCGCGUGAAGGAAGAAGGAUCUAUGGUUCGUAAACUUCUUUUGCAGGGGAAUAAAGUGCAGGACGUGUCCUGUUUUGUAUGUACCCUGAGAAUAAGGAUCGGCUAACUCCGUGCCAGCCGCCGC
rnacentral:rRNA from 1 species